GCCUGUAGGAUGCGAACAGUCAAAGUGGUGGGACACAAGAAGUCAGAGGGAUCAGAAAAACAAAGAUUUUCUUUCCUCCUUCACUAUGUAGAACAGUAGUGUUACAGGUACCAGCCUGAUAGAACCUCAAGAAUAGCUUGCUUCAAUUUCAGUCCCAUAGGUAAUAGCAAAACUUUCUGUGAAAGGGCUUGUGGCUGUGUCAAGAUCAGAAAAAUUUAUGCUUGAGAAAAUCCUCACCUCACAGUGGCCACUGGCCGCACAUCAUCGAUGCUUGAAGUUGGCUGCUUUCAGAACAGUGGAAGGAACAGAAGAAAGGUUUACAGGAGAAUACGGCCUUGGGAGUAGUAAUGAGAGAGGGGAAAGACUAACUUUCAGAUGGCUCAGUACACAGUUCAGUUGAAGACUGGACAUCUCUAGAAAGGACAACCACAGAAGCUGGAGGUACAAGAAACGUAACUGCGAAUAAACUUCAGGAUCUCGCCCAACCAGAGCUGUUGAAGAAAUGUGUCAAAGGCAAAACACAAAAUGCGAAUGAAUCAUUUAAGAAUGUUGUAUGGUCAAGGAUACCAAAAAAUGUGUGCAUUGGAAGGU